rnacentral:rRNA from 1 species
GAUGAACGCUGGCGGCGUGCCUAAUACAUGCAAGUCGAGCGAACAGACGAGGGGCUUGCUCCUCUGACGUUAGCGGCGGACGGGUGAGUAACACGUGGAUAACCUACCCAUAAGACUGGGAUAACUUCGGGAAACCGGAGCUAAUACCGGAUAAUAUAUUGAACCGCAUGGUUCAAUAGUGAAAGACGGUUUUGCUGUCACUUAUAGAUGGAUCCGCGCCGCAUUAGCUAGUUGGUAAGGUAACGGCUUACCAAGGCAACGAUGCGUAGCCGACCUGAGAGGGUAAUCGGCCACACUGGAACUGAGACACGGUCCAGACUCCUACGGGAGGCAGCAGUAGGGAAUCUUCCGCAAUGGGCGAAAGACUGACGGAGCAACGCCGCGUGAGUGAUGAAGGUCUUCGGAUCGUAAAACUCUGUUAUUAGGGAAGAACAAAUGUGUAAGUAACUAUGCACGUCUUGACGGUACCUAAUCAGAAAGCCACGGCUAACUACGUG